CCCGGCUAUACGCUGUAACAUUGGGGCGCGUACUUGGACUCUUGGCUUAAUUGGUAGGUUUGUGUUUGAGCCUGGCUGUCCUAGCGGGGAUUCAGGCGCGGUGGCAUCCUGGUGUAGGCCAGGAUGACGCUGCGGUGAGGGCAGUGAACCGCCUCAGGCUGGAAACAGAACAGGGAACAACUGCCACUGUUUCCGCCGCAUGAACCGCAGUCGGGCCCGCUACUAACCUUCACCAACUACACCUUGAGGAGGGUAACGCAU
rnacentral:SRP_RNA from 1 species